rnacentral:misc_RNA from 1 species
GAAAUGCGAUAAGUAAUGUGAAUUGCAGAAUUCAGUGAAUCAUCGAAUCUUUGAACGCACCUUGCGCCCUUUGGUAUUCCGAAGGGCAUGCCUGUUUGAGUGUCAUUAAAUUCUCAACCUUGCAAGCUUUUUUGCUAGCGAGGCUUGGAUGUGAGGGCUUUUGCUGGCUUCCUUCAGUUGGAUGGUCUGCUCCCUUUAAAUUCAUUAGUGGAUUCCUUUGUGGAUGGUCACUUGGUGUGAUAAUUAUCUACGCCGCCUGACUCUGAUACAAGACUUGUGGGGACCUGCUCAUAACCGUCUCUUCGAGACAAUCUAUAUUGACAAUUUGACCUCAAAUCAGGUAGGACUACCCGCUGAACUUAA